rnacentral:lncRNA from 1 species
CACCUCGCCAUCAGAAGCCACUGACCUUGGCCUACGAUGGAGACUUGGACAUGUAACUUGAAAAAAGGAAUCCAAAUGUAGACAUCAACUGCUGCCUUAAAUGCUUUCUCUUUUGUAGCUCUCAGACUUCUCAGUUCUUUGAGGAAUCUCACGAUGUGAUAUCUUGGGCAGAACACAAAUACUACAAAAGGAAUAGUGCCCCAACUUCAUUGGGACAUGGAGUCAAGGAUUACUGGGUCUGCCAUUUUGUUUUCAAAUUGUUUGUGGGUGUGUUUUGCUUUUUUUGGUUUUCCCAAGAGGCCUGAAAACCUUUCUCUUCCUGUUUGAAAAUGAGAGGAAGAGAACCUGAAGGGUUUCACACAGACUUGAGUGAACUUGAUCCUCAGAGGCAUUCUGACAAUCCACGGGAAAGUCCAAUCGAGGCAUUUACUGUAAAUGGCGAGUCUGACACUGUAUUGUUACGCACUAUAUUAGUGCAGAGUCCUUAUUCCCAUACUGCAACAUGAGUUUCCUAGAGUUUACAUUGGUUCGAAAACUUACAAAUUGGAUUGCCUAUUUUCAUGAACACAGAGCGAAUGGGUUGCCAUUUCAGAAGUUCUCUGAGUUUUUACCUUUAAAGAAUGCAUCUUAUUUUGUAGCCAGGGGAUGAUGGCACUUUUGUGCGCUGCAUCUGUUGAGAUAG